GAUGAGAACGUAGCAAAAUGCGAUAAGUAAUGUGAAUUGCAGAAUUCAGUGAAUCAUCGAAUCUUUGAACGCACAUUGCGCCCGCUGGUAUUCCGGCGGGCAUGCCUGUUCGAGCGUCAUUUCAACCCUCAAGCCCCCGGGUUUGGUGUUGGGGAUCGGCUCUGCCCUUCUGGGCGGUGCCGCCCCCGAAAUACAUUGGCGAUCUCGCUGCAGCCUCCAUUGCGUAGUAGCUAACACCUCGCAACUGGAACGCGGCGCGGCCAUGCCGUAAAACCCCAACUUCUGAAUGUUGACCUCGGAUCAGGUAGGAAUACCCGCUGAACUUAAGCAUAUCAAUAAGCGGAGGA
rnacentral:misc_RNA from 1 species